UUUUUUGUUUGGUUUGGCCGCAACACCAUUUUCUCUGAGGCUUAGGAGCUUGGUUUUUGUUAUUUUCGAAUGCAUAUAACGUUUUGUGGAGUUGGGCGAUCGGAUCAGCUUGAAGAUCACACUAUCCAGAUACAUUUUGGCUCAAUAUACUUUUGUCUCUACACCUGUUACUCAUCAUUUAGAAGAGACGACUCCAGGGUGGAAAAGACCAGCUAUCGGCGUUCUCAAAUGUAAUAUGGAUGGUGCUUUAUUUUGUGACGAGUAGUGUUAAAGUUUUGCAGUGAUCAUUCCAAACCAUAAUGGUACUUUUGUGAAAGGGUUGGUUGGUCAUGUUAAUAUUUUUUUGGGACCCUUGUAUUAUUGAUAUUUUUCUAUUUGCAAAGUG